UAGAGGAAGUAAAAGUCGUAACAAGGUUUCCGUAGGUGAACCUGCGGAAGGAUCAUUACCUAGAGUUGUAGGCUUUGCCUGCUAUCUCUUACCCAUGUCUUUUAAGUACCUUCGUUUCCUCGGCGGGUUCGCCCGCCGAUUGGACAAUUUAAACCAUUUGCAGUUGCAAUCAGCGUCUGAAAAAACUUAAUAGUUACAACUUUCAACAACGGAUCUCUUGGUUCUGGCAUCGAUGAAGAACGCAGCGAAAUGCGAUAAGUAGUGUGAAUUGCAGAAUUCAGUGAAUCAUCGAAUCUUUGAACGCACAUUGCGCCCCUUGGUAUUCCAUGGGGCAUGCCUGUUCGAGCGUCAUUUGUACCUUCAAGCUCUGCUUGGUGUUGGGUGUUUGUCUCGCCUCUGCGUGUAGACUCGCCUCAAAACAAUUGGCAGCCGGCGUAUUGAUUUCGGAGCGCAGUACAUCUCGCGCUUUGCACUCAUAACGACGACGUCCAAAAGUACAUUUUUACACUCUUGACCUCGGAUCAGGUAGGGAUACCCGCUGAACUUAAGCAUAU
rnacentral:rRNA from 1 species